rnacentral:rRNA from 1 species
CCUACGGGAGGCAGCAGUGAGGAAUAUUGGACAAUGGGUGGAAGCCUGAACCAGCCAAGUCGCGUGAAGGAUGAAGGUUCUAUGGAUUGUAAACUUCUUUUAUUCGAGGGUAAAGUGUGGUACGUGUACCAUAUUGCAAGUAUCGAAUGAAUAAGCAUCGGCUAACUCCGUGCCAGCAGCCGCGGUAAU